GGUCUUGACAUCCCGAUGCUAUUUCUAGAGAUGAAAGUUACUUCGGUACAUCGGUGACAGGUGGUGCAUGGUUGUCGUCAGCUCGUGUCGUGAGAUGUUGGGUUAAGUCCCGCAACGAGCGCAACCCCUAUUGUUAGUUGCCAUCAUUCAGUUGGGCACUCUAGCGAGACUGCCGGUAAUAAACCGGAGGAAGGUGGGGAUGACGUCAAAUCAUCAUGCCCCUUAUGACCUGGGCUACACACGUGCUGCAAUGAUUGGUACAACGAGUUGCGAGUCGGUGACGGCGAGCUAAUCUCUUAAAGCCAAUCUCAGUUCGGAUUGUAGGCUGCAACUCGCCUACAUGAAGUCGGAAUCGCUAGUAAUCGCGGAUCAGCACGCCGCGGUGAAUACGUUCCCGGGCCUU
rnacentral:rRNA from 1 species